GGUUACCAGUUCGGUUUUUCAUUGGAGGUUUUUGGAAGAUCAGGGGAAUUAGAGAGAGGAGCUUCAUGCUUCGGGUCGGGGAAGGAAAGACAUAGAAUUUGGAUUUUUCUUCUUCGUAGAGUUUUGGGACGACUGAGGCAAUCACUGCUGAAGUCAGUGUUGUAAUGGUGAAUCGGGAUUUUUAAAUGAAGUGGGUUUGAAUACUCUUGACUGUUUUGUAAAAUCGAGUUACGUCUGUGAUUGAAGGAUUAAAGGGGUGUUUAUACGAUUGAGUAUGCAGAGUGAAUGAAAUUUAUUGGGUUAAUCUAACAGGACAGUUAGUGGAUACAAGAUCG
rnacentral:lncRNA from 1 species